ensembl:lncRNA
CCAGUCUUUGAUUUGCUCAAUGCACUGGCACAGAAGAUCUAUGGGGUGAUAGUCCAAUGGUGGCCAAUUUUAUUUUUUUGCAUGAUUUGUCCUAGUGGGAGCAUGUAGAUGUUGAAUAAAGUCGGCCCUAAGAUCGAACCUUGGGGGACUCCACACGUUACGUCGGUUGUUUCUGAUACGAAGUCACCAAUGGAAACAAAAUAGUUCCUGUCUUGUAGAUAUGACCUGAACCAGCUUAAGACUGUGCCUGAGAGCCCCACCCAGUUUUCCAACCUGUCCAAAAGUAUUGAGUGGUCGACAGUAUCAAAUGCAGCACUGAGGUCUAAUAGCAUUAAUAUUGAAGUUUUGCCAGAGUCUGUGUUAGGACGGAUGUCAUUUACAACUUUAAUAAGGGCCGUCUCGGUGCUAUGAAGAGGUCGAAAUCCUGACUGGAAGUUGUCGUGGCAGCCAGUUGAAGCCAGGAAGUGAUUAAGUUGUUGUAGGACAACUUUCUCAAUUAUUUUACUUAUGAAAGGUAGAUUUGAAAUUGGUCUGUAGUUGUUGAUAAUAGAGGCAUCUAGGCUCCGCUUUUUUAGGAGAGGUUUAAUAACUGCAGUUUUGAAAGCUUUUGGGAAAUGGCCUGUCUGAAUAGAGUUAUUAACUAUUUGCAAUACGUCUGUUGCUAGGCAGUCAAAAACAUUCUUAAAGAAGUUGGUAGGUAGAGCAUCAAGACAGCAGGUGGAUGGUUUUAAAUUUGUUACCGUUUCCACUAGAGUUUGAGAGUCUAUGGCAUGUUGGAGGAUUCCUUAAAGAUUCCGGAGCAGCUCUCUCGAGUUUGUUAGCAUCCUACAUUACUGAAAUGUUGACCAAAGAUAAUGUUGAAAACCGAUGAUGAAGCUUUUUUUGUUUUAUGAAGAGCGGGACAUGCUGCAGAAGCGUCACCUCCGUCUGGAUGAACCAAAUCCAAGCUGCUGGUGUUCCCUCAGUCUGCCUCAAUCAUCACAGAGCACUGACAGAGCACUCAAUAGAUUCAAUCACAGAUUGAUUAUAUAAUCAAGUGACUUGAACAAUGGCUCCUGGUCUUUGUUCAUUCUGUACACAUAAGCAGAGAAACGAGCAAAAGGUCACACAGUGGCAGUCCCGAAGGCAAUUUGAUGACUCUAUGCAACUAUUAUUUUAAACAUUGGUAUGUCUGAAUGUCUUAAUAAAUACCACUCUAUGUGGAUAUUAUAAUCACUGUGAUGUAUCUGCUCAAAUGCACUAAAAGACCCUCUAGUGGUGUCAUGGACUUCAAGGCUUUGAAGGCACAAACCUCUCUGAAUGACUGUAAUAUUACGAUAGCAAUUAAAUUAGUUACACUAAAACUGGUCGUAGAGGAACCUAUUGUAUUUUUUAUUUGUAAAUUAUUGUCUUUCAAGGAAUUCUUAUUAUUCUUCUCACAAACUAAGAGCUUUUUUUGGGCUUUAUUAUUUUCAAAAAGUUGUUGAAUUUGGCAUGCAUACCAAGAUUUCUCUUUAAACUUAAUUUUGCGGUCUCGUAUUGGGGUAACAAAAAAUGUCUCUAUAGCACCUAUAGUACCAAACUAUAGGUAUAGUCCCCCCCGAUGUCCAAUCGACUUGAAAUUUGGCACACAAGGUCUCUUGGACAUGCUCUACAAAAACGUUAAUUAUGCGCAUAACGCUGUGUCCGAUUGUCACGACAUUUUCUGUAGAUCAUUUUUGGGUCUAUGCCCCCCUGAUCCAUAGAAAUUGUGUUGAUAACUUAUUGUUUUGAGAAGAUAUGGGCUAAUGAACUUUGCAAGGGGUGUGGUUAAUUUGGCAAGACACACAAUUUAAGAAUGAAUUGACCUGCAGGUCCUGGUAAAAACAAAUCCCCUGGCCAAGGAUUAGGACCUAAAAUGCAAUCACAGGAGCCAGAAUAGGGUUACCAUAUUCGUUGCCCCAACAAGUCCUGUGGCUCGACAUCGGAGGCAGGCAGAUCCCAGUGGAACCACCAUCGACAGAAGCCUGAGGGACCGCUGUAGGAAGGAUGCCCAGACAUAUAACUGUUAUCAGAGUGUGUUUUACGAUGGGGGUGUGAGAGUGUGGCAGAGCACCCACCUGCUACAGACAGGUUGAGCAGACACUUUUUGACCAGAAAAUACCCAGGGCCCAAUAGGUGUAUGUAACCACCCCCACACAAAAGCAUCUAGUUAGGUAUUUGGGGAAGUUUUCAAACAACUUUGUUGCAGUACGUGGUUACAGAGAGUUUAAGACUACCAAGGUCCUAUUUUGCCACCCUGAGCGACGAUGGAACACCUUGGUGAAAGCGACUGCAGCCAGAAUCCUAAAGAUUGUGGAAGGUUUACUACAAAAAGCGUGAAAACAGACCUGCAGACACCUUCAAGAAAUACAAAAACAACUCGAAGCAUUGAGUGGCUUACCACAACCCUCAACAAGUAAGCCGUCCCUGGAUGGGUGUUCUCCAAAAGGACCAAAGUGGGUUAAACCCACAAUAAAAACGCCUGCGAUAGAGUCCACAUCCAAGGAUACGUGGGGAGGGCUGUGGUAUCCAUCAGAAGGCCCCGCGGUGUUUAAACCUUCAAUAAAAAGGCCUGCGUUAGCUCCCACCCGUCAGGACACCAGGGGAGUUUUUACACAGGUCUAUGGUUCCCUCCCAAAACACAAGCAAAAGGUUAAACACAAAAAAGGUUUAAAGACAGCCUUUGGCGGCGUGGACUACACCGAAUGAAGAGCCGGAACUUUUUACCCCAAGAUACGACAACCUAAUAAGCGAUGAGGAAUUAAUACGCC